rnacentral:rRNA from 1 species
AUUGAACGCUGGCGGCAGGCCUAACACAUGCAAGUCGAACGAGUGGCGGACGGGUGAGUAAUGUCUUGGAAACUGCCUGAUGGAGGGGGCUAACUACUGGAAACGGUAUCUAAUACCGCAUCCCAUCGGAUGUGCCCAGAUGGGAUUAGCUAGUAGGUGGGGUAAAGGCUCACCUAGGCGACGAUCCCUAGCUGGUCUGAGAGGAUGACCAGCCACACUGGAACUGAGACACGGUCCAGACUCCUACGGGAGGCAGCAGUGGGGAAUAUUGCACAAUGGGCGCAAGCCUGAUGCAGCCAUGCCGCGUGUAUGAAGAAGGCCUUCGGGUUGUAAAGUACUUUUAGCGGGGAGGCGUUAUCCGCAGAAGAAGCAACGGCUAACUACGUGCCAGCAGCCGCGGUAAUUC